AGCGAACGCUGGCGGCAGGCUUAACACAUGCCAGUCGAGCGGGCACCUUUCGGGGUGUCAGCGGCGGACGGGUGAGUAACGCGUGGGAACGUGCCCUCUGGUUCGGAAUAACUCAGGGAAACUUGAGCUAAUACCGGAUACGCCCUUUUGGGGAAAGGCUUGCUGCCGGAGGAUCGGCCCGCGUCUGAUUAGCUAGUUGGUGAGGUAACGGCUCACCAAGGCGACGAUCAGUAGCUGGUCUGAGAGGAUGAUCAGCCACACUGGGACUGAGACACGGCCCAGACUCCUACGGGAGGCAGCAGUGGGGAAUAUUGGACAAUGGGCGCAAGCCUGAUCCAGCCAUGCCGCGUGAGUGAUGAAGGCCUUAGGGUUGUAAAGCUCUUUUAUCCGGGACGAUAAUGACGGUACCGGAGGAAUAAGCCCCGGCUAACUUCGUG
rnacentral:rRNA from 1 species